UACGGAGGGAGCUAGCGUUGUUCGGAAUUACUGGGCGUAAAGCGCACGUAGGUGGCUUUGUAAGUUAGAGGUGAAAGCCUGGGGCUCAACCCCAGAAUUGCCUUUGAUACUGCAUGGCUUGAAUCCAGGAGAGGUGAGUGGAAUUCCGAGUGUAGAGGUGAAAUUCGUAGAUAUUCGGAAGAACACCAGUGGCGAAGGCGGCUCACUGGACUGGUAUUGACGCUGAGGUGCGAAAGCGUGGGGAGCAAACAGG
rnacentral:rRNA from 1 species